rnacentral:rRNA from 1 species
GUGGGGAAUAUUGGACAAUGGGCGAAAGCCUGAUCCAGCCAUGCCGCGUGUGUGAAGAAGGUCUUCGGAUUGUAAAGCACUUUAAGUUGGGAGGAAGGGUAGUAACCUAAUACGUUGCUACUUUGACGUUACCGACAGAAUAAGCACCGGCUAACUUCGUGCCAGCAGCCGCGGUAAUACGAAGGGUGCAAGCGUUAAUCGGAAUUACUGGGCGUAAAGCGCGCGUAGGUGGUUCAGUAAGUUGGAAGUGAAAUCCCCGGGCGCAACCUGGGAACUGCAGUCAAAACUGCUGAGCUAGAGUACGGUAGAGGGUGGUGGAAUUUCCUGUGUAGCGGUGAAAUGCGUAGAUAUAGGAAGGAACACCAGUGGCGAAGGCGACCACCUGGACUGAUACUGACACUGAGGUGCGAAAGCGUGGGGAGCAAACAGGAUUAGAAACCCUAGUAGUCC